rnacentral:tRNA from 1 species
GGGGUUGAGGCUCAGUGGUAGAGCGCUUGCUUGGCACAUGUAAAGCACUGGGUUCGAUCCUCAGCAACCCAU